UCAUAGCUAUGUAUUGGUAGAUACGACACGUCCAUUUUGAGCUCCUUGCCGAAUGUGACGGCUAGAGGUCAAAGUCGUUCGCGCAUUCCAUUUGUGUGGACGGCAAGAAAGCCAAAAGACCCACGGUGCUGGUUGGUACAUUGUGCUGCAUACGGUUACGUAAAACGUCGUACAAUUAUGACAAGGGAACUGAGGGUCCCUUUCACUUUAUUCCUUCCGGAUCUCCCGCUUCACUGCCCGCUUCAACCACGCCGGCAAGCCCGUCCACCUGCUCAUGCUUCCGCCUGCUGCCCAUUUCUUUUCCUUCGGACCACCCUCACUACAUUGUAAAUACUACCUGGAGCAUCUCCUCAAUAAACCAUUCUCCUCAACUCGCUCCCUCCCUCUGCUUUUGGGUCCAGUCCAAUAUCAUACGAGUACAAAUUGUGACAGAAUACUCUGCCCAACAUGGACCCAGCGACACCGGAGGCAAGAUGAGGCUCUUCGUGUAAUUAUGGAAUAAUUAAGCUCCCUCACACAAGUAUCUCUCCUGUCCUCCCCAAUACACUUAGCAACCCUCCCGUGAAUAUCCCUUCCAAGUCCAGAGCCUCCGACCAACCCCGCCUCCCGUACAAAGAACUUCACGUCCCUCCUCCCGAACCCUACCCUACCUAGGUUCCUGUGGUCAAUUCCUGUUAAACUGCUCACUAGUAUUCGACCUUCAACCGCUAAGUUACCCCACUGAUUGAUCCAAAAUUGCUUUCAUAAUCAACCUCCUGCGCGGACGAGCUUCACCAGUACUAGCAUCAUUUGAAUUAUUUUCAGCAGAAUUUUAAAAAGUCUUUGAUCACCCCGUUAAGGGCAGGGAAGCCACUCGGCGCCUCCUAGCCCUCACUCAGGUCUCUAGCUCCAUAGCUUCCUAUUCUAUUAAGUGUAGGAUUCUAGCGGGUGAGUGUGGGUGGGAUGAGGCAGCGUUAAUGGUGAUUUUUUUUUCAGAGGACUGUCAGAGGAGCUCAAGGACAAGGUCGCAGCCAGGGACGAUUCUCCCUCACUUGAGGAAUUAAUAUCCUUAGCUAACCAGCUGGACAAUCGUCAGCGAGAAAGAGCUAGAGAGAAACGGAUUAGCACACGCAGUAAUACACCUUCCACGGGCACAGUGCCUCCAGCCAUUCCGCCGCCUCCUGAACCCCCUGCCGCCUGGAGGAGCCCACGCAACUUGCCGGGUUCUUUGUCGUCGAAACGAAAGAUACCACUCUCCGCCUCUGCAUUGAUUUCCGAGGUCUCAACGACUUCACUGUUAAGAAUAAAGCUCUGCUGCCUCUUAUUGACCCUUCCUUCAAACCCCUCUGUGACGUUCGAAUAUUCACCAAGUUGGACCUUCCAUCCAUUUUCUGAGCCGCUUCUCCUCACUAGGGUCGCGGGCGUGCUGGAGCCUAACCCAGCUGUCAUCGGGCAGGAGGCGGGGUACACCCUGAACUGGUUGCCAGCCAAUCGCAGGGCACAUACAAACAAACAACCAUCCACACUCACAUUCACACCUACGGGCAAUUGAGAGUCUCCAAUUAAUGCAUGUUUUUGGGAUGUGGGAGGAAACCGCAGUGCCCAGAGAAAACCCACGCAGGCACGGGGAGAACAUGCAAACUCCACAUAGGCGGGGCUGGGGAUUGAACCCGGGUCCUCAGAAGUGUGAGGCUGACGCUCUAACCAGUCGUCCACCGUGCUGCCCAAGUUGGAUCUGCUUAACGCUUAUCAUCACAUCCGCAUUAAAGAGGGGGACGAAUGGAAAACUGCCUUCAAUAACCCCCUCGGACACUUUGAAUACCUGGUCAUGCCUUUUGGGUUAACCAACGCCCCUGGAAUCUUUCAAACCUUCAUCGACGACGUCCUCUGUGAUAUGGUUAAGCAUAUCACAGAGGACGUCGUUGAUGAAGGUUCGUCUUUUUCUAUUUAGAUGACAUCCACAUCUUCUCCCGCUCUCCUGAAGAACAUCGCCAAAAUGUCCGCCAAGUCCUUCACGCCUACUUGAAAACUGCCUCGUUGUUAAACCUGACAAAUGUGAAUUCCACUUCCCCUCUGUAAACUUCCUGGGAUAUAUCAUCGCCAAAGGACAACUACAACCAGAUGCGGCUAAAAUCCAAGCAGUCGUUAACUGGCCCAUUCCCUCCACCCGCUAAGAACUGCAACGUUUCCUGGGCUUUGCCAACUUCUACCGCAGAUUCAGCCGGGAUUACAGUAAAGUGGCCGUUCCCCUCACCAGCCUCACCUCCACCAGCUCCCAAUUACAGUGGACCACUGCCGCAUCCCAAGCCUUCGAGCACCUAAAGGAAUUAUUCACCAGUGCCCCCAUCCUAAGACACCCCGACCACUCCCUCCAGUUCGUUAUGGAGGUUGAGGCCUCAGACACUGGAGCGGGGGUCGUUCUCUCCAAGAAGUUACCCCAAAUCCCAAAAACUUUUCCAGUUGCCUUUCUCCGUUUGAACAGAAUUAUGACGUCGGAAAUCAUGAGCUGCUUGCCAUCAUUUGGGCUCUGGAGCAAUGGAGGCAUUGGCUAUAGGGGACCGUUUCUCCAGUCAUCAUCUGGACUGACCACAAGAAUCUCGCCUAUCUCCGUUCCGCUAAGCGACUUAACCCCCGGGAAGCUCGUUGGGUGCCUUUUUCGCAGUCGUUUCAACUUCAGCCUCUCCUUCCAGCCUGGUUCACAUAACGGCAAGCCUAUCGCCCUCUCUCGCCUCCAUUCACCCCCCUCCUGCCCAACCGAACCGGAAACCAUCCUUCCUUCCUCCUGCUUCAUUGGGGCGGCCACUUGGGAGACUGAACAAGUGGUAAAAAAGGCUCAGAGAACCCAACCGGAUCCCAAGACCGGACCUCCAGACCAUCUCUUCAUACCAGAUUCUGCACGCUCGGAAGUACUUCAGUGGGCCCAGAACUCCAAACUUACCUGUCAUCGCAGAAUCACCCGAACCAUUAUUCAACAACAUUUCUGUUGGCCCAGUCUGGCUAAAGACACCUGAGACUUUGUUGUAGCCUGCUCUGUCUGUGCCCGAGGUAAGGCUUCACAGCAACCCCCCGCUGGUCUGCUACGCCCCUUACCCAUUCCGAGCCGCCCUUGGUCCCACAUUUCCCUGGACUUCGUUACCGGCCUACCCCUCUCUGAAGGUAACACCAUCCUUACCAUCAUAGAUCGUUUCUCCAAGUGUGUCCAUUAUGUAACCCCUUCCCAAGUUGCCCUCUGCUUUUGAGACCGCUAACCUUCUAAUCCUUUUUGUAUUGAGACUUCACGGCAUCCCUAUUGACAUUGUCUCGGACCGAGGUCCUCAGUUCUCCCCCCAGGUUUGGCAGGAGUUCUGCAAGGCGGUGGGCGCAGCAGCCAGCCUGUCCUCCGGCUACCGCCCCUAAUCCAAUGGCCAGAAGGAGCGGGCGAAUCAAAACCUGGAGUCUGCUCUUCGCUGCGUUCCUGCACACAAUUCCGCCUCCUAGAGCACCUUUCUCCCAUGGUUGGAAUAUGGCCACAACUCCCUCACCAGCUCUCCCACAGAUAUGUCUCCCUUCAUGGUAAGUUACGGUUGCCAGCCUCCUCUGUUUAAGGAACAGGAGCAUGUGGUGGCAGUUCCCGUGGUGAGGGAGCACCUUUGACGAGUUCAAUCCGUUUGGAAGGACGUCAGGUCUGCCCUUACUCGUUCAGCCGAAAAGAAUAAGCGGCUGGCGGAUCUUCAUCACUCUCCCAUGCCAGAAUACAAGGUGGGUCAGAUGGUUUGGCUCUCAUCCCGUGACGUCCCUCUCCAAACCGAAUCCCGUCAGCUCACGGCACACUUCAUUGUUCCCUUUCCUAUCACUAAAAUCAUCAAUGCCACCUCUGUACAGUUAAAACUUUCCGUAUGUCUCAAGAUCCAUCCGACAUUUCAUGUUUCUCCGCUUUAGCCUGUCUCCUCCUGUACCCUUUAGACCACCCUCACACAUUGGAAAUACUACCUGGAGCAUCUCCUCAAUAAUCCAUUCUCCUCUACUCCCUCCGCCUCCGUCUGCUUUUGGGUCCAGUCCAUUAUUACACAAUUACAAAUCGUGACAACGGGUGUCUCAACAAAACACAGCAAAUCAAAAUUGAUCACACUUGUGGCUAAUGAUGUGAAGAAACUAAUAUAAGCCAACUUAGGGAGCCCUGUUUGUUGAAGUUUCACUAUGGAUAGAGACAUUCAGAGAGAGAGAGGCAGAGUAAGAGUAAGCGGUGGUCGAGGAGGAGAGAGAGGAGAUAUGAGGCAAAGAACAAUUAUGUACUGUAUUUCAGAUUAAAUAUGGGCAACCAUUGUUGACCAUGUACUUUUCCAUGGUUUGACAAUAAGGGAAGCGGGAAUGCAGCGAGUGCAGCCUGACCUAAACAGACUCACUGUAUCCACCAUAGUCCUAAUAUUCAGAGACAUGAACAGGUAAUUGCUUGUUUCAUUAGGUACAUACAGUUCAUGUUUAAAGUAUGAAUCUAUACAAUACUGUACACAAAAAGGUGUUUUAAUAUAUGAAUUUUCAUUAUACUUGUAGGCCUAGUACUUUUUUUAAAUUAUUUUUUUCAUUACAAGUACUAAACAGGAUUUUUUUGUUUUACUAUUGUGAACAAUAAAGAUUAUUUCUGCAGCUUUA